rnacentral:lncRNA from 1 species
CUCCAGCCUCUGCCUCCUCAGCCUCUGCCCUCAUCUCCAGUCUAGGCGAAUUUAAGGUGGGUUUUGGUCUUUUAGUUUCAGGAGGUAAACUGUGUCCUCUAAGUUCUCAGUUCCCGCUGGUGCUCAAGCCAGAUCCAAGGAGGCGGCCUGUGGGCCCACGUUCCCCACUCUCAGGAACACCUCAGGAUUUCAAGGUCAUUAUUUUAGUUCAUCCUCACAGCACACCAAGGAGAAGUCAAUGAGUUGUUUUUUGUCAUCUCCAGUUUACGGACGAGGACACUGAGGUCUAGAAUGGUUCGGGGACUUGUCCGGCCAUCCCCAUCCGGGGACCUUAGAUCUCUUGUCCUUUCCACUCUCCUCAUGGGGAGUGACUUCCUUCUCCUCUCACAGGGCUGGCGGUUCAGGGAAGAACUCCCUCCUGCGUACACAUGCGUUCACACGCAGCCCAGAGAGGAGAAGCGCUUGCUCCCAGCACGGAGAGGCUGCAACCUCACCUCCUGGCUUCAUGCAACCUCUGUAGCGCUCAGAAUGGUUCUCCAGCAGUGCAAGUUAGAGGGGGUGGAGUUCUCAAGUUCCUCUUCUCCCUGGCGGGGCAGUCAGUCCCGGCCCCGUGAAGUCCCACUGCCCACAGUUAGGAAGACUAAGGCUCAGAGACUAAGCACAUCCAGGUUCUGGAUCCCACACCGGGAUCAGCCAGAGCCCAGGCAGGACACUUAAGCUGGGUUACUAGGUUGUCGUGGUGGGAGUGCCACCAGGUGGGUGAGUAGGCAUUUUAGGUUCUGGGAGUUUAGGCAGGAGGAGGGAGGGGGCUGGGGCUUGUGUUCCUCUGGGAUCCGUGUUGGGGAGGAGUUCCGGAUUCCUGCAUUUGCCUUUGCAUUGUUCUCACCCUUGAUGGGGAGGACAACAGUGGGAACAGCACCUCUUUCCUCCUGAGAGGGUGGAGGUGGGGAGAUGUGACAACAGUUCCUUUCCUGAUAGCUGCUGUCCAUAUUUAUCCCCAAACUCUCCCCUAAGCCUGUUGGAACUGACCCUGGCCUUGGCACCCAGAGGACACAGGCCUGGAUCGCCUUGGGGGAGACAGACUCACGGAAAGAUUAGUAGUUUUAAACUUAUCUCCUCCUCUCCCACAUCUCCUUCCAACCACAGCAGCAGCCACACACUACUGAGUGCCUACUGUGUGCCAAGUCCUGAACUAAGCACAUUCCCCUGCACAGAAUCCUGCUCAGUGGGUGAGAAAGGGCCAAGAGCUGGGAUCCAGGCUCUUUUGCUGGCUAGGUUUUUUCAUUCACAGAUUACUUAAGUCAGCAAAUAUUUGCUAGGUACUUACUGGAUGCCAAAUCCAGUGCAAGACAGGUGCCAUUCCUGCCCAGUAAAAACUAUGUGUUGGGGGUUUUGGAGGGAGGCAACUAAACUGGCAAGUAGAUGCAAUGAUCAGUGCUCCAGGGGUCAGGGAAAGGCAAGUUUGGCAAGGCGCUUCACCUUAGUUUCCUUGCAGUUGAAUGGGCCUGACACUAGUAGUGUAUGUCACUUUGAGUGCUGUGCGGAUUAAGUGAGAUAUUGUGCAAAACGCUCUUAGCUGGGUGCCUACUCACUAGGCUUCCAUUAUUAUAAUUCUCUGAUUCUUUGGAUAUUGUCCCACUUUGCAGAGGAGUAAACAGCUCAGAGAGAUUGAGUGACUGGAGCAAGCUCAGCUUAUACAUCCUCUCAAGUGUCACACAUUAUGGGAGACAGCCUGCCCGGAGCAAGAGGCCACAGAGAAGGGUCAUCUGAUUGGAGAAUGUGGGUUCUGGAAAUGCUUCUCAGAAGGGAUGAGGCUGCAGCUGGAUUCUGAGGGGGUUGGUGAGGGGCAGCAUUGCAAUAUAUGGUAGGAAAUUGGUGAGGAAGUGCGGGGUCCCUCCGGAGGGUCCCUCCUUAACUCCAGAAUGAGGAGCCUGACUUUCGGAGGAUGCCUAUGGGAGCCACUGACAUCUGUUCCUGGAGAGAUUUGCAUUUGGAUUGGAUAGAUUGUUAGGGGAAAGGCAGAAUCCCUCUGAGGAGGAGCCAUGAGAGAUGAUAGCACUAAAAAAUGACCAGUGGAAGUAAGGACUAGGAGAGAAGAGGUUGACUUCAAGAAACUGCUGGAAGCCAGACCCUCCACUGUUGAUCCAGUGUGGGAAGUAAGCUGGGAGGAGGGCACACGGCUGAUUUUCAGGUAUCUGGGCUGGGUGACUCAUUGAAGGUAACACAGAGUUGUGGCCUCUGGAACAGAGGCAAGAUGGAAAGGUGAAGAAAAAAUUUGCAUAUUCAAAAUACAGAGUUCGAAGGGCUUUAUAGGGCCUCUAGGUAUGGACCCCAAAUAGCAGCCACCCGCCCCCACCCCACUCCCCACAGGACACAGGGCUGUUUUAGUGGAGGCCAUGGACCAGAGAAGGGUGUUGAGACCCCAGACACUGGAGAUCUGACUCUCACCACUUUUCAUUCAUACAAAGUAGGCUAGCCUCUUAAAAUCAUUCUCUUGAAAUUUUACACCCUAUAAGGUCAUUGUCCUGGGGCAGGAUGCUGGGCAAUCAGUCCCUUGAGCUAUUGUGACCCACUGGAAUUUAAACAUCAGGACUCCUCACCUGCACAGCUUCUUUUCAAGGUCUUCUUUCAUUUUGCAGACAUGGUCAAGUGGCUUCUUCAAGUUUCAGGCUUAAAAACUGCAUCUACCACUGCCCACCAUAGGUCACACCUUCUGGCUUCCUGCUUCUCUUAAACUGCUGCUGCAUAGCAAAUGGCCCCAGGUUUAGCGACCAAAACCAGUAACCAUUUCAUUCUUAUAAUUUUGUGGGUCAGGAAUUUGGACAGAGAGUGGCUGGGUCAUUCUUUUGCUCCAUAUACUGUAGAUGGAGGUCUCUUGGUGGUACUCAGCUGUGGAUGUGCUGGCUUGGAGACUGACAGGUUCAGUCACAUGUCUGGUGCCUUUGUGUGGAUGGCUGGAAGCCUGGGCUCAGCAGGACCAUUGAUUCAAUGUAGCCCUUCGUCAUGGUGGCCUCAGGGCAUCAGGCCUCUUACAUGUUGACUCAGGUUCCAAGAGCAGAUGUUCCAGUGAACAAAGUGAAAGCUACUGGCCCUUCAUGACCUAGUCUUAUAUAGGUCAAGAAAUGUAACAAGACUCUACUAUUUGCAAAUGACUGACACCCAAGUCACACCUACUUAAAAAGAGGUAGUUGACAUCCUUCCUGAAGCCAGUCCUCAGUUACCAAGGCUUCUGGUCCUUAGGAAAACGAUGCUUUCAGGACAGCUGAAUGUUUGCCCCUUUCAGCCCUACCUUGUCUUUGUUCUAGCAUUUUAGGGUAUAAGCUUUAUAAAACAUGCUACUUGCUUCUUCCAUUUUCUCUUCCAAGGGACACUGAAGUACUUUGAGCUCUCUGUGAGUCAGGUUUAUCUCAGGAUGUUCCAUGAUAGGGAUGUAGGGUCUUAUUGGAAUGAGAGUUCAUUGACUCUGGCACUAAGAGACUCAAUAUUUCUGUGACUUUUCUGAUGCACUUUUUAUUUUGAAGACCUUUUGUUAUGAGAGAUUUCGAGCAUGUAAGAAAGUAAAGAAAAAAAGUAUGAUAAUGGGGAGUUCCCGUCGUGGCGCAGUGGUUAACGAAUCUGACUAAGAACCAUGAGGUUGCGGGUUCGAUCCUUGGCCUUGCUCAGUGGGUUAAGGAUCCAGCAUUGCCGUGAGCUAUGGUGUUGGUUGCAGACACGACUUGGAUCCUGUGUUGCUGUGGCUCUGGUGGAGGCCGGUGGCUACAGCUCCCAUUAGACGCCUGGGAAACAACAUACGCCGAGGGAGCGGCCCAAGAAAUGG